GAUGAACGCUGGCGGCGUGCUUAACACAUGCAAGUCGAACGAUGAAGCCCAGCUUGCUGGGUGGAUUAGUGGCGAACGGGUGAGUAACACGUGAGUAACCUGCCCUUAACUCUGGGAUAAGCCUGGGAAACUGGGUCUAAUACCGGAUAGGAGCGUCCACCGCAUGGUGGGUGUUGGAAAGAUUUAUCGGUUUUGGAUGGACUCGCGGCCUAUCAGCUUGUUGGUGAGGUAAUGGCUCACCAAGGCGACGACGGGUAGCCGGCCUGAGAGGGUGACCGGCCACACUGGGACUGAGACACGGCCCAGACUCCUACGGGAGGCAGCAGUGGGGAAUAUUGCACAAUGGGCGCAAGCCUGAUGCAGCGACGCCGCGUGAGGGAUGACGGCCUUCGGGUUGUAAACCUCUUUCAGUAGGGAAGAAGCGAAAGUGACGGUACCCGCAGAAGAAGCACCGGCUAACUACGUG
rnacentral:rRNA from 1 species